rnacentral:rRNA from 1 species
UCCAUGGAGAGUUUGAUCCUGGCUCAGGAUGAACGCUGGCGGUGUGCCUAAGGUAUGCAAGUCGAGCGAUCCCGCUAUCCCAUAGUUUGAAUUACAUCAGAGUAAUAUAUUCAAGCCAUGGGUUAGCGGGAUAGCGGCGGACGGGUGAGUAACGCGUAGGUAACCUUCCUCGAAGUUGGGCAUAGCUUGCCGAAAGGCAAGGUAAUUCCCAAUAGUCCUGCCCACCGAUUUCAAGUUGUCAUGUCAUUUGAUGUUUCUAGUGCAAGGACAAUUUGAAUUUGGUGGUCAGGUAAAGUUCUAACGCUUCGAGAUGGACCUGCGUCCUAUCAGCUUGUUGGUAAGGUAACGGCUUACCAAGGCUAAGACGGGUAGCUGGNNNNNNAGGAUGGUCAGCCACAAUGGCACUGAGAUACGGGCCAUACUCCUACGGGAGGCAGCAAUUAGGAAUCUUGCGCAAUGGGGGAAACCCUGACGCAGCGACACCGCGUGAAGGAUGAAGGUCCUCGGAUUGUAAACUUCUUUUAUAGUUUGACAAGUUCUGAGUGAACUAUGAAUAAGUGCCUGCUAACUGCGUGCCAGAAGCAUCGGUGAUGCGUGGGGCACAAGCGUUAUCCGGAUUUAUUGGGCGUAAAGAGAUGCGUAGGCCUUUUAGUAAGUCUUUUGUCAAAGCCCCCAGCUCAACUGGGGAAAGGCAUUGGAAACUACUAGAAUUGAGACAGAGAGGGGGAAGUAGAAUUCCCGGUGGAGCGGUGAAAUGCGUUGAUAUCGGGAGGAAUACCAGUGGCGAAGGCGACUUCCUGGCUCUGUUCUGACGCUGAGGCUCGAAAGUGUGGGGAGCAAAACGGAUUAGAUACCCGUGUAGUCCACACUGUAAACCAUGGAUACUGAGUGUUCGGUCUGACUACUUAUGGCCCUCGUGGUCAUUUGUGGAAGGACUGAGUGCCGAAGCUAACGCGUUAAGUAUCCCGCCUGGGUAGUACGGCCGCAAGGCUAAAACGCAAAGGAAUUGGCGGGGACCCGCACAAGCAGUGGAGCGCGUGGUUUAAUUCGAUGGCAAUCGAAGAACCUUACCAAGGUUUGACAUAUAGCUGCUAAUCCCGCGAAAGCGGGACUCCUUCGAGGGUGCUAUACAGGUGCUGCAUGGCCGUCGUCAGCUCGUGUCGUGAGAUGUAGGGUUAAGUCCCGAAACGAGCGCAACCCUUUUCCUAUGUUAUAUAUGUCUUAGGAGACUGCCUCGGUAAAACGAGGAGGAAGGUUGGGAUGAUGUCUGGUCCUCACGGCCCUUAUACCUUGGGCGACACACACGCUACAAUGGUCGAUACAAUGAGUUGCCAAACCGUAAGGUGGAGCUAAUCUCAUCAAAGUCGAUCCCAGUUCGGAUUGAGGUCUGAAACUCGACCUCAUGAAGGUGGAAUUGCUAGUAAUCGCGGAUCAGCCAUGCCGCGGUGAAUACGUUCUCGGGUCUUGCACACACCGCCCGUCAAGUCAUGAAAGCCGGGGGUACCCGAAGCCGUCAUGUUUUAUUCGCAAGAAUUGAAGUAGGCGACGAAGGUAAACUCGGUGAUUGGGACUAAGUCGUAACAAGGUAACCGUAGGGGAAUCUGCGGUUGAAUUACCUCCUUU